UACGUAGGGGGCAAGCGUUAUCCGGAUUUACUGGGUGUAAAGGGAGCGUAGACGGCAAUGCAAGUCUGGAGUGAAAGGCGGGGGCCCAACCCCCGGACUGCUCUGGAAACUGUAUAGCUGGAGUGCAGGAGAGGUAAGUGGAAUUCCUAGUGUAGCGGUGAAAUGCGUAGAUAUAUGGAAGAACACCAGUGGCGAAAGCGGCUCUCUGGUCUGUAACUGACGCUGAGGUUCGAAAGCGUGGGUAGCAAACAGG
rnacentral:rRNA from 1 species